rnacentral:lncRNA from 1 species
CCUGUAUUUACUUUGAAAAAAUUUACUUUUUAAUAAGAGAUCUCUCAUGGAAUAAGAAUAAUCUAUAAUGCUUAUGUAAAAUCAAUAAAAGUUUUUUUUUCUUUUGAUUUUAAGAAAAGUAUUCUCCCUUGGGACCAAUGAUGCCAGAUAAAACAGUACUCCUACAUGAUGAUUAUUAUCCAAAGAAAUCUCUGACAAUGGCAAAGGACAACCAGCAACAAGCACAAUCAUCUGGAGGUCUCCAGCCAGCCCAGCUGAAAACAGCAGCAGCGACGGCAGCGGCGGCUGCGGCGGAGGAGGAGGAGGAGGCGGCGGCGGCGACGGCGGCAGCAGCAGCAGCAGCAGGGGCAGUAGCAGUAGAAGUAGGGGCAGCAGCUGGGGCAGCGGCGGCGGCGGCGGCAGCAGCAGCAGCAGCCAGUUCUGAACUUUCCAUAGCGCUGGGCCCCGACGAGUGGUUAGCCCAGGAAAGCCUCAAAUUAUACAAUUUAUGAAACCCAAUCCAGUUUUUAGACUCUAACGUGUGAUUACAGAGAUUAGACAUUCACUGUUGCAAUUAUGUUAAUGUUGAUGUGUGGACAGAUAACUGGCAGAAAGAGUUGUUCUGAAUCAUCUAUUUAUAGAAAAAAGAUUCUUGCUAUCUCAAGGCAAACAUAUGGGCUAUAAAGGCGGGCGACAACAACGAAAAAAAAAACAACACCCCUCCAAAUGAAAAGACACCCAGUGAAGCCAUAAUUAGGGCUGGUACCAGCUUAUGUAAAUCAGGUAAGACUUUCAAAACAGAGAUCGGAUCUGGUUUUAAUAAAGCGGAUUGAACAAAUGGCA